GAUGAACGCUGGCGGCGUGCCUAACACAUGCCAGUCGAGCGGACGGACGAUAAGCUUGCGUCUCUGAUGUUAGCGGCGGACGGGUGAGUAACACGUGGAUCACCUACCUAUAAUUCUGGGAUAACUUCGGGACACCGGCUCUAAUACCAUAUAAUAUCUUGAACCGCAUGGUUCAAAAGUGAAUGACGGCCUUGCUGUCUCUUAUCGCUGGAUCCGCGCUGCAUUAGCUGGUUGGUAAGGUCACGGCUUACCAAGGCGACGAUGCGUAGCCGACCUGAGAGGGGGAUCGGCCACACUGGAGGUGAGACACGGUCCAGAGUCCUGCGGGAGGGAGCAGUAGGGAAUGGGGGGCAAUGGGCGGAAGCCUGACGGAGCGAGGCGGCGUGGGUGAUGGAGGCCUUCGGAUCGUAAAGCUCUGUUAUGGGGGAAGAACAGAUGUGGAAGGAGCUGUGGAGAUCGUGACGGUACCGAAUCAGAAAGCCACGGCUAACUACGUG
rnacentral:rRNA from 1 species